UCGGAUCGUUCGCGCUCUCACGCACUGACCCUGGGAAGGAAUCGGACUCAUCCACACGAGACGUGAGAGCUGGCCGGAGAAUUCUGGGAGUUGAAGUCCAGAAGUUUUAAAGUUGUCAAGUUUGGACAUCCCUGCACUAGUACAUCUCUCUUCCCUCUAAUACCGAAAUAAUGAACAAUUUGUGGCCUUUUUCCGGUCAUCUGAAGUCAGCAGCCUGAUGUCUUUUUAUAGUGUAUUCAGUUUCUGCAAGGAUUUAAUAAACUAUUAUGGUUUCCAA